rnacentral:rRNA from 1 species
UACGUAGGGUGCGAGCGUUAAUCGGAAUUACUGGGCGUAAAGCGUGCGCAGGCGGUUUUGUAAGUCAGAUGUGAAAUCCCCGAGCUCAACUUGGGAACUGCGUUUGAAACUACAAGACUAGAAUAUGUCAGAGGGGGGUAGAAUUCCACGUGUAGCAGUGAAAUGCGUAGAGAUCGGGAGGAACAUCUGUGGCGAAGGCGGCCAUCUGGACCAGCACUGACACUGAGGCACGAAAGCGUGGGGAGCAAACAGG